rnacentral:rRNA from 1 species
UAUUGUAUGACGAAGGAGGAUAGUUUGUAUGACGAUGGAGUGACGAAGAAGGUGAAAGACGCUAACGGAAAGGAAGCGUUAGUCUAAGCAAUGAGUUUGGUAUGUAGGGAAAUCCGCAUACUGGGAAGAAUGAGUUGUGAUGGGGAAACACAGCGAUGUGUGAAGGUGAAGGUAGCCAAGCUUCCAAGAAAAGCUUCUAAGGAGAAGUAUCAUACCCGUACCGAGAACCGACACAGGUGGACGAGGAGAGUAUCCUCAGACGAACGGAAGAACUCUCGUUAAGGAACUCGGCAAAAUGACUCCGUAACUUCGGGAGAAGGAGUGCUUCCUCAAGAGAUUGAGAAGUCGCAGAGAAACGGCCCAAGCGACUGUUUAUCAAAAACACAGCUCUCUGCAAAGUCGCAAGACGAAGUAUAGGGGGUGACGCCUGCCCGGUGCUGGAAGGUUAAGAGGAGUUGUCAGAAGCAAUUCGAAGCAAUGAAUUGAAGCCCCAGUAAACGGCGGCCGUAACAAUAACGGUCCUAAGGUAGCGAAAUUCCUUGUCGGGUAAGUUCCGACCCGCACGAAAGGCGUAACGAUUUGGGCGCUGUCUCAACGAGAGAUCCGGUGAAAUCUUAGUACCUGUGAAGAUGCAGGUUACCCGCGACAGGACGAAAAGACCCCAUGGAGCUUUACUGUAGCUUGAUAUUGCUCUUUGAUGUAGAAUGUACAGGAUAGGUAGGAGAUGGAGAAGAUUGGACGCAAGUCUAGUUGGAGUCGAUGUUGGGAUACUACCCUUUGUGCAUUGAAGAACUAACGUGUUACCAUGAACUGGUAAGCGGACAGUGUCUGGUGGGCAGUUUGACUGGGGCGGUCGCCUCCUAAAAGGUAACGGAGGCGCCCCAAGGUUCCCUCAGAAUGGAUGGAAAUCAUUUAGAGAGUGUAAAGGCAGAAGGGAGCUUGACUGCGAGACAGACAAGUCGAGCAGGGACGAAAGUCGGGCUUAGUGAUCUGGCGGUGCUGAAUGGAAGGGCCGUCACUCAACGGAUAAAAGCUACCCUGGGGAUAACAGGCUUAUCUCCCCCAAGAGUUCGUCGCGAGAUAGCAGGA